rnacentral:rRNA from 1 species
AGCGGCGGAUGGGUGAGUAACACGUGGGGAACCUGCCCCUAAGUCUGGGAUACCAUUUGGAAACAGGUGCUAAUACCGGAUAAUAAAGCAGAUCGCAUGAUCAGCUUUUGAAAGGCGGCGUAAGCUGUCGCUAAGGGAUGGCCCCGCGGUGCAUUAGCUAGUUGGUAAGGUAACGGCUUACCAAGGCGACGAUGCAUAGCCGAGUUGAGAGACUGAUCGGCCACAUUGGGACUGAGACACGGCCCAAACUCCUACGGGAGGCAGCAGUAGGGAAUCUUCCACAAUGGACGCAAGUCUGAUGGAGCAACGCCGCGUGAGUGAAGAAGGUUUUCGGAUCGUAAAGCUCUGUUGUUGGUGAAGAAGGAUAGAGGUAGUAACUGGCCUUUAUUUGACGGUAAUCAACCAGAAAGUCACGGCUAACUACGUGCCAGCAGCCGCGGUAAUACGUAGGUGGCAAGCGUUGUCCGGAUUUAUUGGGCGUAAAGCGAGCGCAGGCGGAAAAAUAAGUCUAAUGUGAAAGCCCUCGGCUUAACCGAGGAACUGCAUCGGAAACUGUUUUUCUUGAGUGCAGAAGAGGAGAGUGGAACUCCAUGUGUAGCGGCGGAAUGCGUAGAUAUAUGGAAGAACACCAGUGGCGAAGGCGGCUCUCUGGUCUGCAACUGACGCUGAGGCUCGAAAGCAUGGGUAGCGAACAGGAUUAGAUACCCUGGUAGUCCAUGCCGUAAACGAUGAGUGCUAUGUGU